rnacentral:rRNA from 1 species
UUUAAAUUGCUGUGGUAUUUUGACUAUACGAAGGUAUUGAAAUAAGGCUUUAAAUGAGUGCUAAGAGAAUGGUUUAACAAUUAAAAACUUUCUUUAAUUAAAUAAUUAAAUUUAAUUUUUUUGUGAAGAAGCAAAAAUUUUAAUUAGGGACAAGAAGACCCUAUGAAUUUUUUAUUAUUUUUAAAAAUAAUAUUUUUAAAAAUAAUUUAAUUGGGGCGAUUUGGAAAGAAUAAUUAUCUUUUUAAAAAAUUAAUUAGUUCCGUUUUUAACGAUUAUAUGAGAAAAAUACUCUAGGGAUAACAGCGUAAUAAUUUUGGAUAGUUCAUAUAGAUAAAAUAGUUUGCGACCUCGAUGUUGGAUUAGGAUUCUUUU